rnacentral:rRNA from 1 species
AGGUUAAACAGAAAGAGCGUAGGGUGGAUGCCUUGGCACUAAGAGCCGAAGAAGGACGUGACAAGCUGCGAAAAGCUGCGGGUAGGAGCAAAUAUCCAAUGAUCCGCAGAUAUCCGAAUGGGGAAACCUGCUGCAGAAGAGCUGCAGCGACUGUACAUGAAUCCAUAGUGUGCAGCCGGGAACCCGCUGAACUGAAACAUCUAAGUAGGCGGAGGAAGAGAAAACAACAGUGAUUCCGUAAGUAGCGGCGAGCGAAAGCGGAGGAGCCCAAACCAUGGUGCGUGCACCAUGGGGUAAGGACUGCAAAAAGAGAGUAUUCCGUUAUCAGAAAGGACCUGGAAAGUCCUGCCAGAGAGGGUGAGAGCCCCGUAAGAGAAAAUGGGAUACAAUCCGGCAGAAUCCGGAGUACCACGAGACACGUGAAACCUUGUGGGAAGGCGGGGGGACCACCCCCCAAGGCUAAAUACUACUUAGUGACCGAUAGCGCAUAGUACUGUGAAGGAAAGGUGAAAAGGACCCCGGGAGGGGAGUGAAAGAGAACCUGAAACCCUAUGUUUACAUACAGUGGAAGUA